rnacentral:rRNA from 1 species
UACGUAGGGUGCAAGCGUUGUCCGGAAUUAUUGGGCGUAAAGAGCUUGUAGGCGGUUUGUCGCGUCUGCUGUGAAAUUUCGGGGCUCAACCCCGAACUUGCAGUGGGUACGGGCAGACUAGAGUGUGGUAGGGGAGACUGGAAUUCCUGGUGUAGCGGUGAAAUGCGCAGAUAUCAGGAGGAACACCGAUGGCGAAGGCACUCUGCUGGGCCGACACUGACACUGAGAGACGAAAGCUAGGGGAGCAAACGGG